GUCUUUUUGAGAUUAAUUUAAAGUCUGAUCUGCCCACUGAUAAUUAUUUAAGGGCCGCAGUAUUUUGACUGUGCAAAGGUAGCAUAAUCAUUAGUCUUUUAAUUGAAGGCUCGUAUGAAUGAUUGGACGAAGUGUAAUCUGUCUCAUAAAAAUUAGAGUAGAAUUUUAUUUUUUAGUUAAAAAGCUAAAAUAUAUUUAAAAGACGAGAAGACCCUAUAGAUCUUUAUAAUUUAUUAAUUAAUUUUUUUAGGUUAUUUUUUAAUUUAAUUAACUAAAUUAUUUUGUUGGGGUGACAGUGAAAUUUAAUAAACUUUCACUAUUUUAUAACAUUAAUUUAUGAAUAUUUGAUCCAUUAUUAUUGAUUAAAAAUUUAAGUUACCUUAGGGAUAACAGCGUAAUUAUUUUGGAGAGUUCUUAUCGAUAAAAUAGUUUGCGACCUCGAUGUUGGAUUAAGAUUAAUUCUGGGUGUAGCAGUUCAGUUUAUUAAGUCUGUUCGACUUUUAAUUUCUU
rnacentral:rRNA from 1 species